rnacentral:rRNA from 1 species
GGGUUGUGAGGUUAAGCGACUAAGCGUACACGGUGGAUGCCCUGGCAGUCAGAGGCGAUGAAGGACGUGCUAAUCUGCGAUAAGCGUCGGUAAGGUGAUAUGAACCGUUAUAACCGGCGAUUUCCGAAUGGGGAAACCCAGUGUGAUUCGUCACACUAUCAUUAACUGAAUCCAUAGGUUAAUGAGGCGAACCGGGGGAACUGAAACAUCUAAGUACCCCGAGGAAAAGAAAUCAACCGAGAUUCCCCCAGUAGCGGCGAGCGAACGGGGAGCAGCCCAGAGCCUGAAUCAGUGUGUGUGUUAGUGGAAGCGUCUGGAAAGGCGCGCGAUACAGGGUGACAGCCCCGUACACAAAAAUGCACAUACUGUGAGCUCGAUGAGUAGGGCGGGACACGUGGUAUCCUGUCUGAAUAUGGGGGGACCAUCCUCCAAGGCUAAAUACUCCUGACUGACCGAUAGUGAACCAGUACCGUGAGGGAAAGGCGAAAAGAACCCCGGCGAGGGGAGUGAAAAAGAACCUGAAACCGUGUACGUACAAGCAGUGGGAGCACAGAGCAAUCUGUGUGACUGCGUACCUUUUGUAUAAUGGGUCAGCGACUUAUAUUCUGUAGCAAGGUUAACCGAAUAGGGGAGCCGAAGGGAAACCGAGUCUUAACUGGGCGUUAAGUUGCAGGGUAUAGACCCGAAACCCGGUGAUCUAGCCAUGGGCAGGUUGAAGGUUGGGUAACACUAACUGGAGGACCGAACCGACUAAUGUUGAAAAAUUAGCGGAUGACUUGUGGCUGGGGGUGAAAGGCCAAUCAAACCGGGAGAUAGCUGGUUCUCCCCGAAAGCUAUUUAGGUAGCGCCUCGUGAAUUCAUCUCCGGGGGUAGAGCACUGUUUCGGCAAGGGGGUCAUCCCGACUUACCAACCCGAUGCAAACUGCGAAUACCGGAGAAUGUUAUCACGGGAGACACACGGCGGGUGCUAACGUCCGUCGUGAAGAGGGAAACAACCCAGACCGCCAGCUAAGGUCCCAAAGUCAUGGUUAAGUGGGAAACGAUGUGGGAAGGCCCAGACAGCCAGGAUGUUGGCUUAGAAGCAGCCAUCAUUUAAAGAAAGCGUAAUAGCUCACUGGUCGAGUCGGCCUGCGCGGAAGAUGUAACGGGGCUAAACCAUGCACCGAAGCUGCGGCAGCGACGCUGAUGCGUUGUUGGGUAGGGGAGCGUUCUGUAAGCCUGUGAAGGUGUGCUGUGAGGCAUGCUGGAGGUAUCAGAAGUGCGAAUGCUGACAUAAGUAACGAUAAAGCGGGUGAAAAGCCCGCUCGCCGGAAGACCAAGGGUUCCUGUCCAACGUUAAUCGGGGCAGGGUGAGUCGACCCCUAAGGCGAGGCCGAAAGGCGUAGUCGAUGGGAAACAGGUUAAUAUUCCUGUACUUGGUGUUACUGCGAAGGGGGGACGGAGAAGGCUAUGUUGGCCGGGCGACGGUUGUCCCGGUUUAAGCGUGUAGGCUGGUUUUCCAGGCAAAUCCGGAAAAUCAAGGCUGAGGCGUGAUGACGAGGCACUACGGUGCUGAAGCAACAAAUGCCCUGCUUCCAGGAAAAGCCUCUAAGCAUCAGGUAACAUCAAAUCGUACCCCAAACCGACACAGGUGGUCAGGUAGAGAAUACCAAGGCGCUUGAGAGAACUCGGGUGAAGGAACUAGGCAAAAUGGUGCCGUAACUUCGGGAGAAGGCACGCUGAUAUGUAGGUGAAGUCCCUCGCGGAUGGAGCUGAAAUCAGUCGAAGAUACCAGCUGGCUGCAACUGUUUAUUAAAAACACAGCACUGUGCAAACACGAAAGUGGACGUAUACGGUGUGACGCCUGCCCGGUGCCGGAAGGUUAAUUGAUGGGGUUAGCGCAAGCGAAGCUCUUGAUCGAAGCCCCGGUAAACGGCGGCCGUAACUAUAACGGUCCUAAGGUAGCGAAAUUCCUUGUCGGGUAAGUUCCGACCUGCACGAAUGGCGUAAUGAUGGCCAGGCUGUCUCCACCCGAGACUCAGUGAAAUUGAACUCGCUGUGAAGAUGCAGUGUACCCGCGGCAAGACGGAAAGACCCCGUGAACCUUUACUAUAGCUUGACACUGAACAUUGAGCCUUGAUGUGUAGGAUAGGUGGGAGGCUUUGAAGUGUGGACGCCAGUCUGCAUGGAGCCGACCUUGAAAUACCACCCUUUAAUGUUUGAUGUUCUAACGUUGACCCGUAAUCCGGGUUGCGGACAGUGUCUGGUGGGUAGUUUGACUGGGGCGGUCUCCUCCUAAAGAGUAACGGAGGAGCACGAAGGUUGGCUAAUCCUGGUCGGACAUCAGGAGGUUAGUGCAAUGGCAUAAGCCAGCUUGACUGCGAGCGUGACGGCGCGAGCAGGUGCGAAAGCAGGUCAUAGUGAUCCGGUGGUUCUGAAUGGAAGGGCCAUCGCUCAACGGAUAAAAGGUACUCCGGGGAUAACAGGCUGAUACCGCCCAAGAGUUCAUAUCGACGGCGGUGUUUGGCACCUCGAUGUCGGCUCAUCACAUCCUGGGGCUGAAGUAGGUCCCAAGGGUAUGGCUGUUCGCCAUUUAAAGUGGUACGCGAGCUGGGUUUAGAACGUCGUGAGACAGUUCGGUCCCUAUCUGCCGUGGGCGCUGGAGAACUGAGGGGGGCUGCUCCUAGUACGAGAGGACCGGAGUGGACGCAUCACUGGUGUUCGGGUUGUCAUGCCAAUGGCACUGCCCGGUAGCUAAAUGCGGAAGAGAUAAGUGCUGAAAGCAUCUAAGCACGAAACUUGCCCCGAGAUGAGUUCUCCCUGAC